GAUCUCCUUCAAGAAGAGGAAACUUGAACAUCUAAAAACUUCAUAAUGUUUAAAGAUGUGUCAAAACCCCAUUCCUCUUUAUCUGAUACUGUCGUUCAGCCCCACAUUUAGCAUGAUGCUUGGUAUGUAGUGGACCGUGAGUAAAUGCAUAUGGUUAGUGUUAAAAGCUUCAUGGAAGUCUGGAGCCUUUAUAGAACUCAUUCCAUUGGGCUCAAGGACAGACAUCUCUACAAACAUCACAGAAUGAAAAUCUAGUAGAUUAAUCAAUGCUAGAAAAAUAUUAAAUUGCUUGUAUCCAUUUUUCUUGUAUAAAUAGAAUAUAGCAACGGGUUAGCAUAUCUGUGAAAUUGUGAAAUCUAAUAAUCAUGUAGACUAUUAAAGAGUAGUUCACUGAAGAGAAUGUGGAAGUAAAUUUUUGUGAGCCUAUCUAGCAAAAUUCUGCAUCUUAACUUUGGGAAGUCUGAAUUUUGAGUGAAAAACUUUCUAAAAAGAAUUAGUAUUUUAAAGAAGAAUAUAAAGAAGUGUGUAGGGUAAUGAAUGUCCAUAUCUCAGAAAAGAUUGUAAAUAAUAUCAAUAGAUUUCCCAUUAUGACCAUUUUUCAACUUGAAGUGAUCAAUCAAAUGUAAUGUAAUGACUAGGGAAAUUGGUUUCCAUAUGGCAUGACUUUUGUGGGUAUGUAGGAUAUUUUCUAUUUGUCAUUCCAAAUCUCUUCUUCACUUUGUUUUAUGCCACAAAGGUUGAACUCUAUGACUCGCAUCAGUUUGAGUCCUUCUGGUCCAAGAUGGGGGGUGGCAAGAGAGAAGAGCCAGGAAAGUUACUCUUGUAGUUCCUCAGUGCUUCUCCUUAAUUUAUCCAUGACCGUUCUUCUGUAGGCCAUAGUUUCUGUUAGGCUUCCCUCCCAUGUUAUACCUACAGCUAUAACUAUUACCAGGGUGUGUUAACAGCUCCCCCCAUGUGCCCUUGUUGGCCCAUAGAUGAUAAGACUCCCUGAUUGCUACCUCUUGGUUUUCCUGUAGACCUCAGAUCUUGGCACAUAAUUUCCUUAUUAAAAUCUCCAUGAUAACCUCCUUUGAGUUUAUAAUAGAGGGCUAUUAACUUGAGAGAAAUACCUCAAAGCAUCAUGAAGUAAUUUGUAUUUCUGUAUUUUGUCUCAGUGAAUUCAUGCUAUAAGCAACCAUAGCCCCAAACCGUCUUGGCUUCUAAGGACUAAGCCUAUCAUUUUCCGCUGAGAUUUGCUAGAGUAAAAUUUUGCUGUUCAUGUAAGUUGCUUAUAAAAGGAUUUAACUUUAAGCCCUUUUGAAUGUCUUUAUAGAUUCCUUAGAGUUCUGAAAAAGAUCUUUGGAGGAUUUUCUUGGCUUUCCAUUUGUUUGUAUCAAAAUAAGAAUCAGAGAAACAACCCUUAAUUGCUCAGCCAUGGGGCAGUCAGGGCACAUUUCAACAUGUCUAGGAUCAGCUGUAGAAUCAGAAAGAAUAUCUCUGACAUGCCCUUUCUGCCUCAGUUGCCAUAAAAACUGUUUUUCCAUUCUAUUUAUCCUAAGACUCAGGGGCAGCAACACUGAGAGACAGUUCAAGAACAGUAAUACCUUUAAACUUUUUCUAGGACAGUUAGAGUUCAGAUUAUCAUUAGCACAUAGGAAUAUAUUGGCUGGAGGAUGAUAAAAGGGAGUUAGAGGAAGAAAAGACUUUGACCAAUUGAGUAGAUCAUAGAAUUCUUCAUAAAACAGAAGACAUCUGUGUUGCACCACUAAAGAUGUAUAUAUUAUUAUUAUUAUUACCAUUGUUAAUUUUAUGGUUAUUUUAUUUAUAAGAGGCAUUAUCAAGAGUACAACUGUAAACAAGGGAAUAAAUAUAAAUAAAUGCAAGAAGCAUUCGGGGGAUAAAAGUUGAGUCAACCAGUUGAAGUACAGACAUUUUAAAAGUCAAAAAUAUUUGCUAAGAUAGCCUGGAAUCAAGUUAAUAGGUAAAGUUACUGAAUAUUUUUGAGUCAGGAUGUGACAAGAACAUUGCUGAUACUGUGGGAGUUGACUCCGAAAGCCAGUGUUGAAGGAGGCAGAGGUAACGUGGGCCUGAAUUGGUCUAGCUGCAGUGAGAGGCUGAGUGGGAAGAAAGCAUCAAAUAAACAGGUUAUAAAAGAAUUAAUAAAAUUUAGGCCAAUGCAGAUGGUUUUAAUUUCAAUCUUCCGUAAUAAUUUAGUUAAGCCAUGUAGCCUUUUCAUUAAUAUGUUAAUUUGUUUUCAGUAUAGAUGAUUUUGCUUCUUUCCUAAACUGUUUUGUGAAAGUAAUAUUCUGAAACAAUUUCCAAAUAUGUUAAUUUGUUUUCAGUAUAGAUGAUUUUGCUUCUUUCCUAAACUGUUUUGUGAAAGUAAUAUUCUGAAACAAUUUCCAAAUUCCAUAGAUAUAGAAAGUCAACAAAAAAGUCAACAAAACAAACAUAAUUUGUUUUGCCUGAAAUCUUUGGCUGCUUUCAGGAAGAGUAUAAGCUAAUUAUGUUGGCCACACAAAUAUUGAUUAUUCCAUUGUGUGAUAGUAGCUGUGGUUACUAUAAGGCUUGCAAAGAGACAAAAAUUACAUCACUAAACUCAAAGGGGUGAUAAUGACUUCACCCUCUUUUAACCCUGUGAUGUACAUAUACUUACUACAUUAGGCUUUAUCGUUGAGGACACAGAAGCAAGCAAACUUAUAUAAUGAUUUUACAUAAGGAAAUCAAAAUUCUACCUCAAAGAAGAGGUAGAAGGGGUAUGUAUAUAUUUUGAGGGCAAGGAAGCCUAUAGUUUUGACUUUUUUAGUUCCCGAUUUAUACUGCAAUACCUAUUUAUAGAUUUUUGUAAAAUAAAGUAAUUCAUUUAUAAACUAACACCUAGUAAAACGACAUUGGAUUUAUUUUAAAUUUUAUUUUUUUGUUUUAAAUUUUAAUCAAAUACCUCUCCAAAAUCAGUAAAGAGCAGGUUGAAACUAGACUAAAACAUGAGACCUCAAUUUCAAACUUGUAGUGAUACUUAAUAUUCCAGCUACAACAUUAAAACUAAAUAGGAAAUUUAGAACAAAUCAACAUAUAUGUAUUAGAUUUCAUAGGGUCAGAUCUUAUACCUGUGAAUGCUUUCCUUUUCCUAAGAACUCUUCAUUUUAUACUUGUCAGAAGAACACUUAGUCUCCAAAAUAAAACAGUUCAUUAGCCUUGGGCUAAAGUCAUUAUCUCAAAUUUCAAAUUUCAAAUUUCUCAUCACCUGUCAUUACUCAAACCUUCCUGGAGAGUUCUGGCAAGUCUUGCUGAAACCACAUGACAAACUACCAGGACUGUAUUUAGUGCUUCCUGUAUCCUGGCAAGUGCUUCCUCUUUAUAAAAGUGGAUUUGGAAGACUUCCCAGAUGGUUCCUUUUUUUGCACUCUAAAGCUUGAAGGCUGUAUCAGACUGCUGGAUGAGGUGACAGAAUGUAUUCAUAGCAAGCUGAAUAUGUAUUCUCUCUGUCCUUCCCCUCUCUCCUCUCAGUGCUUAUAAGUCAUCUCGUUAGAUGAAUACUUUUGAGCAUCUCAUUUGUAAGAUAAAUCUGGAAUUUUACACAGUUGUUGAUUUGCUAAUGUAAGGCUCAGUAGAAGACUGGUGAGAAGCCAUAUUUAUUUUGAAAAUGAAUAGCUUUCCUUAUCUUUUUUCUGGGAAACAUUUGCAGAUAAUACCAUUUGCAUAAACAUUUGCAGAUAAACAUUUGCAGAUAAUAAAAUGUAGUUUCUCUUGACAGUGUAUCUACUAAAUGGAAAGACCCUUUAAUGGCAUCAUGUGUCUGAAUGACUAAGAUAUUUUUCAGAUAACAUGUUACUGGAUUAUUUAAAGCAACUUUUUAAGUAUUUUCCUUUUUUUUACUUUUAACAUAUCCAUUUCUUUUCUUUUUCUUUUUUUUUUUUUUCUUUUUGCCAUUGCUUGGGCCACUCACAUGGAGGUUUCCAGGCUAGGGGUCUAAUCAGAGCUUCAGCUGCUGGCCAAUGCCAGAGCCACAGCAAUGCGGGAUCCAAGCUGCGUCUGCAACCUACACCACAGCUCAUGGCAACACCGGAUCCUUAACCCACUGAGCAAGGCCAGGGAUCAAACCCGCAACCUCAUGGUUCCCAGUCAGAUUCGUUAACCACUGAGCCACAACGGGCACUCCCAUAUCUAUUUCUAAAUGGUGUAAUUCUAAGUCAUCUUAUAGUUUUUUUUGUCCUGAUGGGAGCAAUAAUUCAACCUUUUCUUUUAUCAAUAACAGAAUGUCACUAUGAAAGAAACCCAAUGAUUGUAGAUAUACUUUUAGAUAUAUUUGUUUAUUGCACAGUAAGAGAGCAGUGACUGGGCAUCAGUUUCUAUAUAUUCUAGGAGGGCUCAAUAGGGUAUAUGUGAGGCAUGGUAGUGAAGGAUAUAAUGUAGCACUAUACUUUG
rnacentral:lncRNA from 1 species